rnacentral:snRNA from 1 species
AUCGCUUCUCGGCCUUUUGGCUAAGAUCAAGUGUAGUGAUAUUAUUCAAAAUAAGUGGCUAUAUUUUGGAGCUUCUGAUUUGUUGCUCAUAAAAUAGCAACUAUAGCAUAACAAUAUUGGCUAUGAGGUGUUGAAAGUUG